GAUGAACGCUGGCGGCGUGCCUAAUACAUGCAAGUCGAGCGAACGGACGAGAAGCUUGCUUCUCUGAUGUUAGCGGCGGACGGGUGAGUAACACGUGGAUAACCUACCUAUAAGACUGGGAUAACUUCGGGAAACCGGAGCUAAUACCGGAUGAUAUUUUGAACCGCAUGGUUCAAAAGUGAAAGACGGUUUUGCUGUCACUUAUAGAUGGAUCCGCGCUGCAUUAGCUAGUUGGUAAGGUAACGGCUUACCAAGGCAACGAUGCAUAGCCGACCUGAGAGGGUGAUCGGCCACACUGGAACUGAGACACGGUCCAGACUCCUACGGGAGGCAGCAGUAGGGAAUCUUCCGCAAUGGGCGAAAGCCUGACGGAGCAACGCCGCGUGAGUGAUGAAGGUCUUCGGAUCGUAAAACUCUGUUAUUAGGGAAGAAAAUAUGUGUAAGUAACUGUGCACAUCUUGACGGUACCUAAUCAGAAAGCCACGGCUAACUACGUG
rnacentral:rRNA from 1 species